UACGUAGGGGGCAAGCGUUAAUCGGAAUUACUGGGCGUAAAGCGUGCGCAGGCGGUUUUGUAAGUCUGUCGUGAAAGCCCCGGGCUCAACCUGAGAAUUGCGAUGGAGACUGCAAGGCUUGAAUCUGGCAGAGGGGGGUAGAAUUCCACGUGUAGCAGUGAAAUGCGUAGAGAUGUGGAGGAACACCGAUGGCGAAGGCAGCCCCCUGGGUCAAGAUUGACGCUCAUGCACGAAAGCGUGGGGAGCAAACAGG
rnacentral:rRNA from 1 species